UUGCAAGUCCUAUCUGCAAAAAAAUGGAUAAGAUAACUUGAUUAAGUAAUAAACAAUUCAUUUUAGACACAUAAAAGUAGGCGACAAGGGUGUUAUUUUUACACCUUAUCAAACUUUCUCACACUUAUCUUGUGGUUGCCCUCAAACACUACAUAGUACACCCCAUCAAUACUUACCUCUUCACUUACAACUCACUAAUUCCCAACCAUCAAAUUACAACCC
rnacentral:lncRNA from 1 species